CGAUCAUACCAGCACUAAAGCACCGGAUCCCAUCAGAACUUCGAAGUUAAGCGUGCCUGGGCGAGAGUAGUACUAGGAUGGGUGACCUCCUGGGAAGUCCUCGUGGUCCAUUCC
rnacentral:rRNA from 1 species